rnacentral:rRNA from 1 species
GCUUACGGCCAUACCACCCUGAGCACGCCCGAUCUCGUCUGAUCUCGGAAGCUAAGCAGGGUCAGGGCCUGGUUAGUACUUGGAUGGGAGACCGCCUGGGAAUACCAGGUGCUGUAAGCU